rnacentral:rRNA from 1 species
UACGUAGGGGGGCAAGCGUUGUCCGGAUUCAUUGGGCGUAAAGGGUGCGUAGGCGGCGCGGUAAGUCGGGUGUGAAAUCUCGGAGCUUAACUCCGAAACUGCAUUCGAUACUGCCGUGCUUGAGGACUGGAGAGGAGACUGGAAUUUACGGUGUAGCGGUGAAAUGCGUAGAUAUCGUAAGGAAGACCAGUGGCGAAGGCGGGUCUCUGGACAGUUCCUGACGCUGAGGCACGAAGGUCAGGGGAGCAAACGGG